ensembl:lncRNA
GGAGACUGUUGACCUGUCAUUGUUUAUUAUUUCAGCACUAAAACUGAGGAGCCUCAACUGCUGGCUCUUCUUCCCUUUGUAUUUGUGUAAGGAGCACCGCACUCCCAUAAAAGGUUUUAAAAUACAAAAUGUACAAGAACACACAAUUCCAAGUGCUGUAAACAUAACUGAGAACCAGUUCCUUUACUAAACAUCCAUUUUAUAAAUCACAAGGUUUCAAUUUGAGCCCAUCUGAGCCUUAAAGAUCCAUUCUGAAUACCAAAGACAAGGCUUCACAGCCAGGCCCAGAAGAGGUCUGGUGAUAAUGGCUGGCCCUGGGUGGGGACAGUUUACACCUAGGCAGCAGCACCACACAUGAACCCGAAGACAUGUUCCUUUUAAAGCUGUUUUCAGCCAUGUUUCUCUGUGCAUCUCCAGUAAGCAGAAGGCUACUCAUUCCAUUCCUCAACCCAAGAGCUAGCACAGUUAGAGUAGGAGGGGGUGCAUACUAGCACGUGCCCAGUUGCUCAGUGCUGCUACUAUAAAUUGAUUUGCAUAGUCCAAUGGAUGUGUGCUUUAACACCACUAUGUUGCACAAAAAUUUAAGUCUUUAUCUACAAAGCCAAAAAAUAUUGACUCUUAACACCAAAGCUUUUACAAAGCUGAUAUAAAAAUGCUUACAUAGUAUACAAAGCUCUAUUUUAAAAUUUAAUGUUUAUUUUAAAUAGGAAAGCAUUUCUAGUGCUACAGGCAUCAAGGUAUUUAGAAGGCAUCAAAAUUUGGUGCAUAGCAACUCUGGAUCAUAGAGGCUUUUAAUUCUUGAGGGCAGCAAAGCAGCCCCCAAAGGGUAUUGCAAGGGGAACUCUUGCAAUAAUCCCAUGUGAGGCAGCUACACCAGGGGCAAAAGGGUAGAGGCAAGUCUGGCCAUUUCUCUGGAAUGUCAAUCGAGAGGCCAACUUCUUGCCCCUCCAAAGGAAGCUGUGGGCUUCCAACCACAGGCCCAGAAGCAAAUCUCACUAUCCACAUUCUGUGACACAACUCACUUUUCAAGAAAAUUUGAAACCACCCAGCUCCAAGACGGGCCACAGUGAUCUGCUGAAGGACAGAUCUUUUUCUCUAACUUUAGAGGAGAAAUCUGAAAUACAUUUUUGUUUUUUUUUAAAGACCAUACUUCCUCAUCCUGAGUCAACAGCUCCAACCCUACUGACAACAGGUGGUGGGCAAUAGGCCAGCUCCCUUUCCCAGGCCUGAACUGGCCUCAGUAGAGAGAGUCCUGGCAUCAAGGGCCUGCAGUCUCCUGGAAUAACAGCAUCAGGCCUUCAACCAGCACACUGUCUCACAUAUAGGCACUCAAAAAAUCUGCUUCCUGAAUCAGUGGAAGCAUAUUAUUUCAUUUGAAAGCAUACUGCAAACUUCAGAGGCUCUGUAAUAGGCCCAGGAACAGGUAAAAGAUCCCACUAGGGAGAGGGGUAAGGGCAGGUUUUUUUUUUUUUUAAAGUACCCAACUUGGGUACCUCCUUUGGUAGACAGCAGGCUGCAGUUUCUGCUGGGCCCUGCCUUAGACACCAGUCUCACCAGCAGCAGCACCAGGGUGUCUUUGGUGUGGAGGGUCAGGUUAUCACUUCUGGAUGUGCUCAGAGCCUUCUGGGGAAAAGGCUGGUUUUUAGAUCAUACAGACAGGACAGGGUAGGUCAGAAUCAUUUUGGGCUAUAAACAGAAUGGCAGAUAAGCCUUCCAUGCUAGUGUGACUCUUAAAACCUUCCCAUCUGGAGUCCUCUAUUUUCUCUGCCCAUGCUGAUGUACAGCUCACCUGUGCUUUAGCUCUGCACACAGCCUGGCCUCUAGAGAAGAGUUACAACUGCGAAGCUGCCUAAACCACCGUGAGACUGACUUCAAAGGUCACAGAACAGCAAAGGCAGAUGCUCCUGUUUGGAAAAGGUUCUAGGACCAGAUGACACAAAUAGGAAGAGCACUGAACAGCUUACUAGUUUUUAUCAUGGCAAGAAAUGAAAGUGACCAAGCUAAAACCCCAUCAUUCAGAGUCACCUUAAAUGUAGCCAUGUAACCCAGGGUCCUGAGGGAAAAAGCAAUUUCAACAUGGAGCCAGUAU